UAACACAUGCAAGUCGAACGAGAAGGCAUCCUUCAGGGAUGCUGGACAGUGGCGCACGGGUGAGUAACACGUAGCUGAUCUAGCCUAAAGACACGAAUAACCCACGGAAACGUGAGCUAAUGCGCGAUAAGCUUCCGGGUUUUAGAACCCUGGGAGAAAAACUCCGGUGCUUUAGGAUGAGGCUGCGGGCCAUCAGCUAGUUGGUAAGGUAACGGCUUACCAUGGCGACGACGGGUAGGGGGCCUGAGAGGGUGACCCCCCACACUGGGACUGAGACACGGUCCAGACUCCUACGGGAGGCAGCAGUGAGGAAUAUUGCUCAAUGGACGCAAGUCUGAAGCAGCGACGCCGCGUGGGUGAUGAAGGUUUUCGGAUCGUAAAGCCCUUUUCUCAGUGACGAGGAAGGACGGUAGCUGAGGAAUAAGUGUCGGCUAACUACGUGCCAGCAGCCGCGGUAAAACGUAGGACGCAAGCGUUAUCCGGAAUUACUGGGCGUAAAGCGCGCGCAGGCGGGUCAAUAAGUCAGCCGUGAAAGCUCCCGGCUAAACUGGGAGAGGUCGGUUGAAACUGUUGAUCUGGAGUACGGCAGAGGCAUAUGGAAUUCCGCGUGUAGUGGUGAAAUGCGUAGAUAUGCGGAGGAACACCAGUGGCGAAGGCGAUAUGCUGGGCCUGUACUGACGCUGAGGCGCGAAAGCAUGGGUAGCGAACGGGAUUAGAAACCCCGGUAGUCCAUGCCGUAAACGAUGUGUACUAGAUGUUCGUGCGCCUGCGGGUGUAUGAGUGUCGAAGCAAACGCGCUAAGUACACCGCCUGGGGAGUACGGUCGCAAGGCUAAAACUCAAAGGAAUUGACGGGGCCCGCACAAGCAGCGGAGCGUGUGGUUUAAUUCGAGGCUACGCGUAAAACCUUACCUAGGUUUGACAUCCCACGAAUGAAUGCGAAAGCAGGAAGUCCCUUCGGGGCGUGGAGACAGGUGCUGCAUGGCUGUCGUCAGCUCGUGUCGUGAGAUGUUCGGUUAAGUCCGAAAACGAGCGCAACCCCUGGGUCUAGUUACAAGUGUCUAGACCGACUGCCUACGGCAAGUAGGAGGAAGGUGGGGAUGACGUCAAGUCAGCAUGGCCUUUAUGCCUAGGGCUACACACACGUUACAAUGGCACGUACAAUGGGUCGCGAAGCCGCGAGGUGGAGCCAAUCCUCUAAAGCGUGUCGUAGUUCGGAUUGCAGGCUGCAACUCGCCUGCAUGAAGUCGGAGUUGCUAGUAACCGCGUAUCAGCACGGCGCGGUGAAUACGUUCCCGGGCCUUGUACACACCGCCCGUCACGUCACGGGAGCUGGUCACGCCUGAAGUCGGGAAGCCAACC
rnacentral:rRNA from 1 species